CACUUGCAGUCCUGCAUUGUUGUCCAUGCGAGGCAAUUCGUUUGGAUCGAAUCAGGAUUGCAUAAACUAGAUGAAAGAAGCUAAGGCGUGACUACUUGAGUUACUGUAGUUUCACGUGCGAUGUUCUUUUGACAGUAACCUUUACGGCCUGUUUCCACGGCGGUGGCGGACUGUCGUGUACCGUGACCUAUCGAAAAACAGGCAGAUUAAAGUUUUGAGCAGCAAGAUAUUGCUUUUGGUAGCAAGAUUAACCAAACGCACUUGAAGCUGCCACAUAC